GAUAGCCAAAUGAUUAAGAUCUAGCCUCUGCCUCCCCAGGUCUUACUGGGGGACGGUGGACAGACGAGGCAGCACUCAAAGACAAAGAACCCACUCAAGCCCUGGCAGAAAAAAAGACCAGUCGCUUCUUUGGUUGCAAAGGAGAAACCCAAGCGACAGAAAUCCAGCUCAAACCGUCCUACUGAAAAAAGAGGAGGACUGAAGGGGACCCCACAGCACAUGCUCCAGCCUGGAGCUCAGGGGCCGCCUGGACCACUACGGAGCGGUAGGUGUCCAAGACGCCUAGGAAGGGUCACAGUGAUGGGAUAA
rnacentral:lncRNA from 1 species